rnacentral:rRNA from 1 species
GUACACGCUGUGACUAGCAUAUCAAUAAGCGGAGGAAAAGAAACUAACAAGGAUUCCCCUAGUAACGGCGAGUGAAGCGGGAAGAGCUCAAAUUUGAAAUCUUAAAGGGUUUCCCUUUACGAAUUGUAGUUUAAAGAAGUGUUUUCUGUUGAGGUUUUGGUAAAAGUUCUUUGGAAUAGGACAUCAUAGAGGGUGAGAAUCCCGUAUUUGACCUUUACUUUCAACUUUGUGAUACAGCUUUCAAAGAGUCGGAUUGUUUGGGAAUGCAGUCCAAAAUGGGUGGUAAAUUUCAUCUAAAGCUAAAUAUUGGCGAGAGACCGAUAGCGAACAAGUACCGUGAGGGAAAGAUGAAAAGAACUUUGAAAAGAGAGUUAAACAGUACGUGAAAUUGUCAAAAGGGAAGCGUUUGACACCAGUGUUGUUUUUCUGAAAAUCAAUUAAAGAACUGUUUAUGCUAAGUUGUUUAGACUUUAUCAGCUAACUGUUUAGUUUUGAGCUUUUCUUUAAUGCACUUUUCAGUUAACAAGUCAACAUCAAUUUCUUUUGCUGUAAAAAAGCUUGAGGAAGGUGGCUUGAGAUUCGUCUUAAGUGUUUAUAGCCUCUUGCCUAUGCAGUCGGAGAGAUUGAGGUCUGCAGCGUAGAUCCUUCGGGGCUAAAUGCUUUUGUGCUAAGUUAUAGCAUUUUAUAGACAACUUGUUGACUAUGAUUUGUCUUGUAGCUUACUCGCUUAUGUUAUUUUACCUACGCUUAGGAUGUUGAUAUGCAUGACUGAUAU